UAAGGCAACUAUAUGGUCCUGACAUUCAAGAUUUAAUUGAUAUGUCACGAAUUCAAUCCUUAUUCCCCUAAUUCUGCAUGUAUUUUUGCCUUGUAAUGCAAUUGAAUUCUUAAUAAUAUCGGAUAUAAACACACACGCACAGACACACACACGAGCUACCUAUAGAGUAAGAUGGGACUGGACAAUUUUGUGCCUUUUGACACUGAAUUGAUUUCACAGGUUUAAUUCUUUGCUCCUCGAGGAGAUGUUAUGAUAUGGAAAAUAAAUCUUUAUUUGCUACAUUUGGUGCUUAUAUUUGUUUUUACCACAAUUUUAAAUGACAUCCAUGUGCUUGUAAUUUUUCUAAACCACCAUAUUGGCAUCACAUCUCCACAGGUUCAAUCUGUAGUUUCUGAUUAGAUAUAGAUAUGACCGUCCUUUGUUUCUUUAACUUCUUCUAUUAUGCAGUUCCUUUCCUUAAAAAUUGAGUGCCACCAACUAAUUCCCAUCACUUCACGCCUUUCAUUCUCUUCUAAAUUGUUUUAGAUUGAAAACCUCAAUUGAAAUGAUGCAAUAUGGUUAAGACUUUCUUUACGGAACCAAGUCCAUUAGUUGCUUCUUUAAUUGGUUUGAAUGGCCAUGUAAUUUUGAAUUGGUUUGGAGUGACUUGGUCAGCGUGGGACUGUAUUAAGGUUCUUAGUUAUCUAUAACGUAAUUUGAGAUGUCUUGCUCCAAUAUUAAGUGGAUAACAUAUGUAUGUUUAAUUCUCUACAUAUUCAUCAGCAUCAUUUUCUCACUAGACUUCCAGCUUAUUAUUGUAAUGCGAGAUCAAGAUUUAGCAUAAGGGUUGCACCAGCAUGUUGAAAUUCAAAUUUUCCUGUGCUUCUCUGUACUUGAUUUUUUCAGGAAAUUUGAAACACGUUAUUUUGUGAAAUACAACAGGUAAAAGAGAUUAGUCACUUCUACGCGCCACGGGUCGCUCGUUGGAAAGCAGAAGCCUUGGUAGCCCUUCAGGAGGCCGCAGAGGAUUAUAUAGUGCAAUUGUUUGAAGAGGCAAUGCUAUGUGCAAUUCAUGCUAAGCGCGUGACACUAAUGAAGAAGGAUUUUGAGCUGGCAAGGCGAAUUGGAGGGAAAGGACAACCUUGGUGAAAGAUUGCGCAUAAAACCAUGUCUAUCAGUAAAUAGUCAACGCCUAUUCAAUUUACAAUUGCAUUAAAUAUGUGUAUGGAAUUUUCAAAUAGUAAAAUAGUUAUUGAAGGACGGGUAUGCUCGCUAUUCCAGAACUAAGAACUUCCAAGAGGAGUCUC